ACCGCUGAGUUUAAGCAUAUCAAUAAGCGGAGGAGAAGAAACUUACGAGGAUUCCCUAGUAACGGCGAGCGAACCGGGAACAGCCAGCUUGAGAUCGGGCGGCCGCGCCGUCGAAUUGUAGUCUGGAGAAGCGUCCUCAGCGGCGGACGGGCCAAGUCCCUGGAAAGGGGCGCCGGGGAGGUGAGAGCCCGUCCGGCCGGACCCUGCCGCACACGAGGCGCUGUCGGCGAGUCGGGUUGUUUGGAAUGCAGCCCAAUCGGGCGGUAAACUCCGUCCAAGGCUAAAUACGGGCGAGAGACGAUAGCGAACAAGUACGCGAGGGAAAGAUGAAAAGGACUUUGAAAAGAGAGUCAAGAGUGCUUGAAAUUGCCGGGAGGAAGCGGAUGGGGGCCGCGAUGCGCCCCGGCCGGAUGCGGAACGGCGCGAGCCGGUCCGCGCUCGGCUCGGGCGCGGACCGUUGCGGGCCGCGCCGGCGGCCUAAGCCGGCGGUCGAUCCGCCUCGGAGACCGCCGCCGGCGCGGCCGGGAAGCGGCGCGCGCCGCCACGGCGCGCCCCUCGGGGGCGCCAGCGCGCCAGCACCGGCCGCGGCUCCCAUCCGACCCGUCUUGAAACACGG
rnacentral:ncRNA from 1 species